rnacentral:misc_RNA from 1 species
GAUGAAGAACGUAGCGAAAUGCGAUACUUGGUGUGAAUUGCAGAAUCCCGUGAACCAUCGAGUCUUUGAACGCAAGUUGCGCCCGAAGCCAUUAGGCCGAGGGCACGCCUGCCUGGGCGUCACACAUCGUUGCCCCCCCAUCUACUCCUUCGGGAGUGCGGGGGGCGGAUGAUGGCCUCCCGUGCGCCUCGUCGCGCGGUUGGCAUAAAUGCCAAGUCCUCGGCGACGCACGCCACGACAAUCGGUGGUUGCGAAACCUCGGUUGCCCGUCGUGUGCGGUCGUCGUGCAUCGAGGGCUCGAAAAAAUUGCCGGGCUCCGGCUCGGCUUUCAACGCGACCCCAGGUCAGGCGGGGUUACCCGCUGAAUUUAAGCAUAUCAAUAAGCGGAGGA